CCCCUCGCCUAUAAAUAGGCCCCCGUUUCCGACAGCGAAGUGCACGCCGAGAGCGAUCGAAGGCUGCAAAGCUUCAAGCUUCCUGCUGAGAGACUUCAGAAGGGGAGCCGAGGUCGAGCAAGCCCAGAUCCGAAGGCUCGCGGCCAAAGAAAGAGAGGUUUUGCCGGAGAGACGAACAGAGAGAGAGAGGGAGUCGGAUCUAAGGCUGCAGACUUCGGGUUCCCCACUGAGAGACUUCAGGGGGGUCCGAGGAUGCGCAGCCGAAGAUCUGAGGCCCGCCGGAGCAGGUCGUGAGCUUAAACGGCCUCCCACCGAGAGACACCGGGGGAGGCCGCGGGCAAGCGAGCCUGCAGAGAGAGGAGAAAUCAAGUGCAAGAGACGGUCGAGGCUCAGAUCCGCCGUCAAUUCAGCUCCAACGCCGCCCCAAACACCAUCCUGACACCGUCCAGAUCUAAGUCGCCGUCGUCGCCGCGAGCAGUGCCACCGUGCCGAGCCAAAGCCGAGAGCAGGUGACGACGGAGCCCUGUCUACGCUGUCCAUCCAAAGCUCUGAUGGCCGUCGCUUUUGCCAUUCACUGUCAUCGCUAUAGCCACCGUAGCCGCCGUCGCCGCCGUCGCCGCCGGAAUGCUCCCGUUUCCCCCCUUUCGGUGCCGCGGAUUCGCAAACCCUAGGGUUUGCGAUUUCCGGGUCACGAAGCGGAUCCAGGUAGGGAUUCCGCGAUUUAAGGGGCGGCGGAAGCCGGGUCGGGGUUCGGGUCGGAUCCGGGUAGGGUUUCACCGGGGAGCGGGUUGUGGAGUCGGGUCGUUGGGCCGGGCCAGGCGACUCUAAACGCCCGGCCACGGCAUCGUUUUUUAAAAUAAAAAAAGUCGGGCCCGUCUGCGUUUUAGGGUUGACCCGGGUCGGAACCAACCCGCGGAUCCGACCCGGGUCGGUUUUAUUUUAUUAUCUUAAUAUAUUAUAAUAAAUAAAAAUUAAAUAUUUUAUUUAAAAAAAAUCAAAAAGUGUUUUAUUUUCAAAAAAUAUUAAAAAUGUUUUAAUUUCCAGAAAAUCGAAAAAUAUUUAAAAAAAUGUCGAAAAAAUGUUUUAUUAAAAAAAAUCGAGAAAAAUCAAAAGAUAAUUUAUUUUCCAAAAAUAUUUAAAAAAUAUUAAAAAAUAUUUUAUUUUCCGAAAAAUCAAAAAAUCAAAAAUAUUUCAUAUUUUCCAAAAAAAGCCAAAAAUUCAUGAAAAAGCCAAAAAAAUUCAGAAAAGCCAAAAAGACUUGCGUUUUUCCAAAAAAAUCCCUUUUGCAUCCAAAAAUUAGAAAAUGACUCAAAAAAUGUUUUUCCUCCCAAAAAUGCAUGGAAAAUCUCUCAAACAUCCAAAAAACCUUAGGGUUUAAACAAGAUUAGGUACCGAAAGGGCAUUAGUGAUUAACUAGUGUAAUCAAGUCCCCGAUCCUAAUUUCUCUGGUUGCGCAGGAGUGAGUAUUUCUCCCGAUACUUCACUUGGGUUUCUAAUCAACCCACCCCAAAUCGAUUAGUGGCGACUCCAAUUUAAAAAUUGAUUACAAGUUAAAAAUUUAGAUUAUUAAAGUCGUGAAUUUGUGGACUUGGGAGAGUCCGGGCUUAUUAAAUUUAGCCGAGCCAUUAGCCUCCUUAGGCGCUCGUACCCGAUUGCGGGCGCCGAGAAAAAAAGAGGUCGCGACAGCUUGGCGACUCCGCUGGGGACUUUGAAGACUUAGGCCGUUUUUAUCUUUGUCUAAAUGCUUUGCUGACUUGGAUUUUUUUCUUUUGUGCAGGGUAAUAGCUUAAAGUUUUUUUAUUCUAUGAAAGUAAAAUGUUUUUGUGAUUAUAAACUGUUGUGCAUCCUUAAAUGUUUUAGCACUACACAUGGCACACACAACCCAGCCGCCGGACCUGGGCCGCCAUAGGAUUUCUAGGAUGGUGUUAAGAAAGAUACGACCUCGAACGCGAGACUGCGAUGUAGAGGUUGCCUUUCUUUUCCCCGAAUUUCUUAGCCGAGGUUAGGAGGGUAUGCUGCUAACGCGAGACUGCGACGGGCGGAUAUCCUCUUAAUCUCAACAAACCUUCUCAGUUAGAAAUCGAGCCACACAUAUCAUGCGCAUGUCUAUGUGAUUACCAUCAAUUUUCUCAUGUGAAGUAAGUUUUUAUUUUGUGUAAUUUACUUACCUUCCUGUAUAUAUUGAGUGGUCCAUGAUUAGUCUAGGAUUUAAUACCACGGUCAUUUAAAUUUGAAAGUAAUUGUUAUAAAGUUAAAAAAAAAAAACUUUUGCAAAAAAAUUAUUUUCAGUUGAUGUUUUUAUUCUCAAGCAUGUUACAAAAUUCUUUUCCGCAAGAAUUUUCAUUUGCCUCAAAAAAAUGGGAUAGGAACAUUUUUCAAAAUUUGUUGCAACUCAUGCUUUCUUCGCCUUUCAAAUUGAAUAUCUUUUUAGCUCAUGUUAACAUGCCACGUGCGCUUUUUCAAUCUUUGUUUAGGAAAUCCUCUACCUUUUUAUGAAUAAACAAAAAUAGUAGGAUUAGGUUGUCAUCAUGGACUGACUCCCUAUUUACGCCUUGUAUUCACACACAUUUGUUUACUCAUGACUAGGGUAAUCACGGAACGUCAACGUUCGCCGAUCCAGACUCGUUCAAAAGCAAGAGCAAGAAUGGCCGAAGAAAAUGUACCAAGCCGUAUUGCGGUCAUGGAAAGUGAAAUGAAGCAAGUCUUCAAUGUGCUUCAACAACUUUCAAAGCAGAUAGACUCCAUCCAGGGCAAACUCACUCCCGCCCCGGCCUCAAUCGAGGUAUUGUUGCCACAAUCAUCUACUAGGGGUGAUCAAGGUGGAGAUACCGACGAUAACAUACCCGAAUUGGAGGAUGAUCCGCACCCAGCCAUGAUCGAGAAAGCUAGGCCAGACAGUUUGUCUAAAACUGAGCAUGACAAACGCCUCGAAAAGCUUGAGGAGAAGCUGAAACAACUGCAAGGCCUCCAAGAUCCUACUUUGAUGGAUCUCUCCAUUUAUUCCAAUGUCAAAAUGCCGGAAAAAUUCAAAAUGCCUGAGUUUGAGAAGUACAAUGGCACGACUUGUCCUAGGGCUCAUUUGCAAAUGUACUUGGUUCGAAUGACCCAAUACGUUAAUAAUGCAUCAUUAAUGAUCCAGUUGUUCCAAUCAAGUCUAAUAGGCCCUGCCCUGAGGUGGUACACUACAAAGAACAUGAAUCUCCUCGAAACAUGGAGCGAAGUGAGUGAGGCAUUCCUCAAGCAGUAUAAGUUCAUAAUGGAUAUUACCCCUUCUCGUGAGGAUCUUGAGCGUACCGAAAAGAAAAAGCACGAAUCAUUCAAAGAAUAUACUAUCCGAUGGAGGAAUGUGGCCGCCCAAAUCAGUCCUGAACCAACCGAUUUUGAGCUGAGAAAGAUGUUUAUCAAAACCCUCCCUUACGAGUACCGUAACCGAAUGGUAACCACGAUCGCCGAAUCAUUUAAUCAACUCAUUCCAGUAGGGGAGCAAAUCGAGAUAGGGUUGAAGGAUGGUUGGUUCACUGAACCUGCACCCACGGGUAGGUUCAUCAUGAAGAAAGAUAAAGAACCCCUAGUAGAUGUCAAUGCGACCUACAAUCAUUCUCCAACAAUUCAGACGAGUGCAAGACAACAACAGACCACUAGCCGUCAGCCAUCUCAGCGUUACAACAACAAGAGACAAUUUACUCCUCUUCCUGGAACUCCAUCACAAGUACUGGCAAUCCUCCGAAAGAAGAACCUCCUUUCGAUUGAGCCAAAACGACCCAACGCUGAAAGUUUUUCCAACUAUGACCCGUCAAAGAUAUGCGACUAUCACAUGGAAGAAGUGGGGCAUUCGACUGAUGAGUGCUUCGCCCUCAAGAGUUGAAUCCAGAACCUGUUAGACACUAAAGCUUUCUCAUUCCAGAGCAAUUCGCUCCCUGAUCACACCGACAAAGUAAAUGCGGUAUUCAGUUUUGAAGACAGUCAGAGCAGAAAUGUCAAAGCACAUACCGAUGACAUUCAUCAAGGGCUGGUGAAGGCCGGGUAUUAUUCAGGCAAUGAAGUGCCACCCUUAGCAAUAGAGAAAGAAGGACCAGAUGACAUGACCACCAUGUUUGGAGACCUUUUCAUGGACACCAUCAAUGAAGGACCAUAAGGGGAAAUGGGUGCAGGCCCGCUCGAGUAGAACCUUUUUUAAUUUCCUUUCAUAAUUCCCCUACGUGGGAACUUGUACAUCUUUCUUAAGUCUAGCUUGUUUUUAUUUUCAAUAUCAGUUCCGCUUGAGGAACUAACUUUUGAAAACACUUUUCCAAAAUGUAAAUCCACCUAUUAAAUAAAGUUGAAAAUAUUUUGAGAGCAUGAGGCGGUAUCCCAAACCAGCCCGGUGAUGCUAUCCAACCAUGAAAAAAUAUAUCCAAGGAGAAUACUGAGGGCUGGGCUUCCUCAUGCUUUUUUCUCCCCUGAAUACAUAUUUUGAAAAUAGAAAACACUUCAUCACCAAAAUCUUUCAAAAAAGAUGAUAAAUUUAAUCAUGUCUGUCUUUCUGACUCACUCACUUCAUGUCUUAGAAGAUCAUUCCCACCCCCUUUGACCUAGUGUGACCAAGGGACAUUUGAACCUGGCACAUCAUGUGAACUCGCCAAGUUCAAAAGCACUCUUCCAAGAAAGCUGGGGCAAACAAAAAGGAUCAUCACGCUUCAAAAUGGUAAGUCCUAUUCCCUGAACAUAAUGUCGAAAAUGACAUCCUCUCUCUUCCAUCUACAGGAGACGAAGGAUGGGAUGUAAUAGGCACAUGCAUAUUAUCAAACUUGAAGCAUGCAUGGCAUGAUAACUCGAGGCAGGAUGUCGUGAGUCCAUCAACAGGACUUCUAGCUUCGACAAGCCCAGAAGCAUAAGGAGGGGAUCUUUUCUCUCUCUUUGAAUUGGCUACUGUCAACAGGGAAGAAAUCCAGACAGUUGAAGCGGUCUCUAGCCCGUACUCAAAAUGAGGACCUAGAAACCUGACUUCCUAUUCAGACGCAUGCUCUCGCAAGAAGUGAUUGCCAUCAGAGAGUUAGAGGUUUUAAUUGUCCAUCUUAGAUUCCAUAGAGGCUUGAGAUACAUGACUUUUGCCCAAUGAUGCUAUAGUCAAAGACAGAAGGAGAAUUUCCACAGAAGGAAGGCGUUGAAGAUGAAUCAACGACCAGCAAUCAUGCAUACAUGGUCACAAGUGAGGAAGGUCAAUCGAAAGAAAUGUCAAACUAUGCCAAGACGAAAAGGCUGUCAUCGACAUUCAAACAUCAUCAGGAGUCAGCAAAUACAAACUUUGGAGAAGAGUAAUUUGGUAUCGUUUCCAAUACUCCCCCUUCUUUGAAUUCACUUUUGACAUAUUCCCCCUAUUGACAGGGAGCAUCACAACUCAAGAACCAAACUCAAUGGUUAGGCAAAUCAAUAUUGGCCAAGCUAGUACGUGGAAAUGACCCACAUCAAAUUCACCUGGCUUUGUGUAAAAAGACAUGCCAUCCAGGAGCUAAUUCAGAGAAUAAUUGACCUAAUAAAGCAAGGGACAUAGGACUUCGUGUCCCCCUCUCACUUCAGGUUCACCCAAUCAUCUGCAAACCAGUGAAGGGUAAAGUUGUAUCGAUUCAAGUUAUUCGACUCUUGAAAGAGUUCAUGACUAACACAUUCCCUCUUGUUUGUUGCAGGAUCACCUGACUGUCAAAAGCAAGGAUAAUGAAUCAAUGAGAAGCAUGUCUUGUUUGUUGCAGGAUUAACUGACUGUCAAAAACAAAGAUAACAAAUCAAUGAGAAGCAUGACAAACUCUCCCAAGCAAAAUGGCGUCUCAAGUAUUGCCAAAGCAAAUGACAGAAAAUCUUCAGGCCUCAACUCAUAUUUAAUUUUGGCCAAACUAAUUGAUCUACUUGUACAUCUUCUCUUCUGUAGGGGCAAAAGCAGAGAUGCCCGAUCAGAUUCCCAACCCCAACCGAUCAUUCAUGUGUCAUAUUCCUAAUCAAUAGGGACAACCAUCGACGUCCAUUUGCGAAUAACCCUUUUGAUGUUCAAAAUCUAACAUAUUUGGAAACACCAUUAUGUUAGCCCCUAAAGUUGUCAAUAGGGUCUUUUGCGAGUCAAAACCAUUCACUUGUUUUGAAGAGUUCAAACUCCAUCAUAUUCAAAAUGUUGCAUGUCAUUUAUGAAUUCUGCAUGAUGAUUUCGUCUGUCUAAGCCAUUGAUUCCACUGAGGAUUAUCAGAAUAGACAGCUAAGCGAAGAAUACAAGAUUAAUUGAGCAUGCUGGAUGAGGCGUGUCAGAAUGAUGACAGGCAAGUCAUAUCCUACACACAGUCCCCCAUCUAUACACUUGUGAGAUGAGUGCAGAAGAUUCCAUGGCUACAGGGUAAAGAGUUCUCUCGCGAAUGGUACGAUAACCAAAAUAGUGAGAGGCAUUCUAUCGCUCACCCCAUUGAGCCCCAUACAUUGGUGAAGCUUCUCUCAUACCCCCGUCAAGAACAACCCCUACACUGGGGCAGAUUAGAAGCGAAGCAGCAUCACAAGGUGAGAAGAGAGAUAUAAAUUUUCUUGCUCGCACUUGCAUCAAUCUUUGGGUGUCUUUAUUGCAUAUGAACACUCACAUUAAUUUAAGUGCCCUAGAAUGACGAAGAGCAAUUCUUUCUCUACGCACUUGUAUCCAUUGUACAACUCAAUUGAGUCUGUAAAUUCACCCUCACAUGGAGGCAAAACAGAAGCCACUGUCGUUUGGGCAGCAUAAUCAGAAGUGCCAGCAAAAGAUGAAGACUCCAUAGUCUAACAAAGGCAUUUGCUUAAACUUGUCAAGAUCAGUUCCUCAAGCAACAAGAACAAAAAACUAGGGCAUAAAAAAGCAGUGUACCUGGUAAAAGCAAGGUCAAUGCCCAUGAAUGAAGAACUAGAAUAAAAAUAGGGGCAUAAAAAAGCAGUGUGCCUGGUAAAAGCAAGGCCAACACCCCCCAGUCAAAAAUACAGCCAAGAAAAGUUGUUGUGGUCCAUAGAACCUCCAUCUGACAAAAAAGACCGGUGACAAAUGCCAAGGCAAUCACCAGCUCUACCUUUUUACACAUGAAUCAAGCCUACGUUGCAUCCCAUUGUAAAAGUCUCUUCAGAUUAGGGGCACUUCAAUUAACGUAGGAUUUCAUAUGUCUAUAAGCAUCGCUCGAAGAAGUACGAGCAAGAUUACUCUAUCUCUUUUCGCAGGAUUCUUGACUUGUAAACCCGGAGAUGAUCGUGCAGCAUUUUCGUCCAUCAGCUUCAACCUUGAUGGUCCCCUUCGAUGAGCCACUGACCAAGACUUCAUCACAGUUUCAACAAAGACCUCUCACAUUGGUAAAGUCGUACCGUUUGUGAGAAUACUCAGACCCCUACUGACAUGAUGACAGUGAGAUAGUGUGGUCCUUAUAAAUCCUGCAUCAAUGGUCAGGAUAGCAUUUUCCAUGAGAGUGAGCGGAAAGUCCUUUCGGACUGAAAAUCCUCAUCUGGCAUGCUCAAGACAUCUACAUUCUAAAUGAAGGUUGUCUUUCAAAAUCUUCCCCAGUGGAAAUCAAAAGAUGCAAAACUGACAAAAUUAUCAUGCAUGAAUCUCAUUUGAACUCAUGAAUUUAUAGCAUAUACAAUCAUAUGUACAUAUUAUGCAAAUAGCAGACAUACUCAUAGAGAUCAGAGAUAUUGCCAGGUAAGCAUAUCUCUAUCCCCAUUUGUCUUAAGGUACCUAUCACUGUCCAGGUACUCUCUUCUUGACACUCGACCUAUUCGAGUCGUCCCUUGAGUUUGGGUGCUUGCAAUUGUCUCAGUAUCCCGUUGUCUUUGAGUACCCACCACUUGUCGAGUACUCCCUCUUAACGACACUCGACCUGUUCGAGUUGUCCUCGGAGUAUUGAUACUUGUGACUGACCAAGUAUCCCUUUAUCGUUGAAUACCUACUGCUGUCUAGGUAUCCCUAUUGUCUUUGAGUACGGUCACCGUUCGUAUACUCCCUUUUUCUAACACUCAACCUGUCCGAGUUGUCCCCAGAGUAUUGAUACUUAUGAUUGACCAAGUAUCUCUUGGAAUACCUACUGCUGUCUAGGUAUCCCCAUAUCGUCAAAGUACCCACCGUUGUCCAGGUACUUCCUUUUCAUGACACUCAACUUGCCCAAGUUGUCUCCAAAUAAUAGCAGUUGUUCAAGCAUUCCACUACUUUGUGUGCCUACGCCUACCCAGGUAUGCUUUCUUACACUUGGACCAACUGAGUGGUCCCAGAUCAUAUCAUUAAAUACUUGUGUUCAUCCAAGUAUUCCAGUACUUUGUACACCUAUGGCUAUCCAGGUGUUCUAGCCCUUUUGAGUGCCUGCGGCCAUCCAGGUAAGUAUCGUGCUACAUUCAAGUUUAUGUUACCAAGAGGUGAGAGACCUUCACGAAUAUGCGGGGCACGCCCUCGAUAUUCCCAUUACCAGGAGGUGAGAGACCUUCACGAAUAUCCCAGGUACGUCCUCGAUAUUUCCCUUUACCAGGAGGUGAGAGACCUUCACGAAUAUGCGAGACCCAUCCUCGAUAUUCCCCUUUACCAGGAGGUGAGAGACCUUCAUGAAUAUGUGAGGCACGUCCUCAAUAUUCUCAAUUACCAGGAGGUGAGAGACCUUCACGAAUAUCCCAAGUACGUCCUCGAUAUUCCCUUUUACCAAGAGGUGCGAGACCUUCAUGAAUAUCCCAGGUACGUCCUCGAUAUUCCCCUUUACCAGAAGGUGAGAGACCUUCAUGAAUAUGCGAGGCACGUCCUCAAUAUUCUCAAUUACCAGGAGGUGAGAGACCUUCACGUAUAUGCAAGACCCAUCCUCGAUAUUUCCACACGAAUAUCUCAGGUAUGCCUUGAUUCUUCUUUCAGAGUUUAUACCUGUGAUCGUCCAGGUACCCCUUCGAUACUUGUGAUCAUCCAGGUAUCCCCAAAUAGUUUGUACCUAUGAUCGUCCAGGUACCCCUUCGAUACUUGUGAUCAUCUAGGUAUCCCCCAAAGAGUUUGUACCUAUGAUCGUCCAGGUACCCCUUCGAUACUUGUGAUCAUCUAGGUAUCCUCAAAUAGUUUGUACCUGUGAUCGUCCAGGUACCCCUUCGAUGCUUGUGAUCAUCCAGAUAUCUCCAAAGAGUUUGUACCUGUGAUCAUCCAGGUACCCCUUCGAUACUUGCAAACGUCCAGGUAUCCUUCAAGAGUUCGCACUUGUGAUCAUCCAAGUACCCGUCCAUUGCCUAUGAUCAGCCAAAUACCCAUUUCGAUGCCUGCAAAGGCCCAAAUAUCCUUCAGGUUAGUACUUGUGAAUAUCCAGGUACUCAUUGAUAUGCCUGUGAAUGUCCAGGUAUCUUCCAGAAUCGAUGCCCUGAGAAAGGUCGGCGCAUCCUCCCGAGAAAGGUCGGGUUCCAACUGGUGUCUUCGACAGAAGUCAGACACCCCAUAGAAUCGAUGCCCUGAGAAAGGUCGGCGCAUCCUCCCGAGAAAGGUCGGGUUCCAACUGGUGUCUUCGACAGAAGUCAGACACCCCACAAAUCGAUGCCCCGAGAAAGGUCAGUGCAUCCUCCCGAAAAAGGUCGGGUUCCAACUAGUGUCUUUGACAGAGGUCAGACACCCCAACAAAUAUGAUGCCCUGAGAAAGGUCGGCGCAUCCUCCCGAGAAAGAUCGGGUUCCAACUGGCAUCUUCGACAGAAGUCAGACACCCCACAAAUCGAUGCCCUGAGAAAGGUCGGCGCAUCCUCCCGAGAAAGGUCGGGUUCCAACUGGUGUCUUCGACAGAAGUCAGACACCCCACAAAUCGAUGCCCUGAGAAAGGUCGGCGCAUCCUCCCGAGAAAGGUCGGGUUCCAACUGGUGUCUUCAAAAGAAGUCAGACACCCCACAAAUCGAUGCCUCGAGAAAGGUCAGUGCAUCCUCCCGAGAAAGGUCGGGUUCCAACCAGUGUCUUUGACAGAGGUCAGACACCCCAACAAAUAUGAUGCCCUAAGAAAGGUCAGCACAUCCCCCGAGAAAGGUCGGGUAUCAACUGGUGUCCUCGAUACAAAUCAGACACCCACAAAUGAGAUGCCCUGAGAAAGGUCGGUGCAUCUCCCGUCAAGGCGACUGAAGAAAGGUUCGGGUCCUAGACAAAUCAUGGAUUGUUUUAACAGGCGACCGAAGAAUGGUUCGGGUCCUAGAGAAGCAACUCCCCGUCACGGCAAUCGAAGAAUGGUUCGGGUCCUAAAGGAGAAAUCUCCCGUCAAAGCGACCGAAGAAGGGUUCGGGUCCUAGACAAAUUAUUGAUUGUUUUAACAGGCGACCGAAGAAUGGUUCGAGUCCUGGAAAAGCAACCUCCUCAUAUCACCAGGUAAGAUGACGCCUUGAUACUUGCCAAAACUCGGGGUUCAUACCCUACCUCACUCACUCCCGGUAAGUAACUGCAGGUAUCUUCUUAUCUGUCUUAGUAUAUGUAAUGUUAUAUUGCUCUUUUUCUGCAUAGAACAAUAGGUUCCAAAUAAAAUAUAAUCUGCUACGCAUGCAUGGAUAAAAUUGAGGCAUCAGUCUGUCUUUGAAUGCAACCUCUACGAACUCACCUUCAAAGAGGGGCAGCUGUUGACACCUCAAUUUUAAUUAAGUCUAUCUUAUUAAUUAAGUUUUUAUUUUAUUUAUCUUGUCUUUUUUCGGAAUAAUAAACAAAUAAAAGCAAACAAAAAUAAAAAACAAAACAAAAGCAGAAAGAAAGCAGGAAAGCCCUCGCAUGGGCCCGCGAGGCCCAUUUCCGUGUCAGCCCAGCCCAGCCGAGUCUUCUCCUUCCUCGCGCAGUUGCCGUGCACGCGUAGAGGGCGCGACGCCGGAGUGGAGGGGAGGAGCAGCAAUGACGCAUGUGGAGUAGAGCGCGGUUGGCAUCGGAUAAGAACGUGGGAGGGGCAGCUGGCGUCGGAUGGGACGCCGGUUCGGCCGGCGGGGACCGCUUGGCGCGCGGGGACCGGUGGUCGAAGCUCCGUCGACCGGUUGCCCCCUCGCCUAUAAAUAGGCCCCCGUUUCCAACAGCGAAGGGCAUGCCGAGAGCGAUCGAAGGCUGCAAAGCUUCAAGCUUCCUGCUAAGAGACUUCAGAAGGGGAGCCGAGGUCGAGCAAGCCCAUAUCCAAAGGCUCGCGGCCGGAGAAAGAGAGGUUUUGCCAGAGAGACGAACAGAGAGAGAGAGGGAGUCGAAUCUAAGGCUGCAGACUUCGGGUUCCCCACUGAGAGACUUCAGGGGGGUUCGAGGACGCGCAGCUGAAGAUCUGAGGCCCGCCGGAGCAGGUCGUGAGCUUAAACGGCGUCCCACCGAGAGACAUCGGGGGAGGCCGCGAGCAAGCGAGCCUGCAGAGAGAGGAGAAAUCAAGCGCAAGAGACGGUCAAGGCUUAGAUCCGCCAUCGAUUCAACUCCAACGCCGCCCCAAACACCAUCCCGACGCCGUCCAGAUCUAAGUCAUCGUCGUCGCUGCGAGCAGUGCCACCGUGCCGAG
rnacentral:lncRNA from 1 species